UCCCGCCGGCGGACCGGCGCACGGGUGAGUAACACGUAUGAAACCUGCCCGUAGCAGGGGGAUAAGCGGAAGAAAUUCCGUCUAAUACCGCGUAACAACCCAUGGAGGCAUCUCCGUGGGUUUAAAGGAAGCGAUUCCGGCUACGGAUGGUCAUGCGUCGCAUUAGCUUGUUGGCGGGGUAACGGCCCACCAAGGCGACGAUGCGUAGGGGUUCUGAGAGGAAGGUCCCCCACACUGGUACUGAGACACGGACCAGACUCCUACGGGAGGCAGCAGUGAGGAAUAUUGGUCAAUGGCCGCAGGGCUGAACCAGCCAAGUCGCGUGAGGGAUGACGGUCCUAUGGAUUGUAAACCUCUUUUGUCAGGGAGCAAAGGGCGCCACGUGUGGCGUUUUGCGAGUACCUGAAGAAAAAGCAUCGGCUAACUCCGUGCCAGCAGCCGCGGUAAUACGGAGGAUGCGAGCGUUAUCCGGAUUUAUUGGGUUUAAAGGGUGCGCAGGCGGAAUGUCAAGUCAGCGGUAAAAUUUCGGGGCUCAACCCCGUCGUGCCGUUGAAACUGGCGUUCUUGAGUGAGCGAGAAGUAUGCGGAAUGCGUGGUGUAGCGGUGAAAUGCAUAGAUAUCACGCAGAACUCCGAUUGCGAAGGCAGCAUACCGGCGCUCAACUGACGCUCAUGCACGAAAGCGUGGGUAUCGAACAGGAUUAGAUACCCUGGUAGUCCACGCAGUAAACGAUGAAUACUAACUGUCCGGGCCGAUUGAGGUCUGGGUGGUACAGCGAAAGCG
rnacentral:rRNA from 1 species